rnacentral:siRNA from 1 species
GUAUGAGGAGCCCCACGCGAUA